rnacentral:rRNA from 1 species
GACGAACGCUGGCGGCGUGCUUAACACAUGCAAGCCGAACGGAAAGGCCCUUCGGGGUACUCGAGUGGCGAACGGGUGAGUAACACGUGGGUGAUCUGCCCUGCACUUUGGGAUAAGCCUGGGAAACUGGGUCUAAUACCGAAUAGGACCACGCGCUUCAUGGUGUGUGGUGGAAAGCUUUUGCGGUGUGGGAUGGGCCCGCGGCCUAUCAGCUUGUUGGUGGGGUAAUGGCCUACCAAGGCGACGACGGGUAGCCGGCCUGAGAGGGUGACCGGCCACACUGGGACUGAGAUACGGCCCAGACUCCUACGGGAGGCAGCAGUGGGGAAUAUUGCACAAUGGGCGCAAGCCUGAUGCAGCGACGCCGCGUGAGGGAUGACGGCCUUCGGGUUGUAAACCUCUUUCAAUAGGGACGAAGCGCAAGUGACGGUACCUAUAGAAGAAGCACCGGCCAACUACGUG